rnacentral:rRNA from 1 species
CCUACGGGAGGCUGCAGUGGGGAAUAUUGCACAAUGGGCGCAAGCCUGAUGCAGCCAUGCCGCGUGUGUGAAGAAGGCCUUCGGGUUGUAAAGCACUUUCAGCGGGGAGGAAGGCGUUAAGGUUAAUAACCUUGGCGAUUGACGUUACCCGCAGAAGAAGCACCGGCUAACUCCGUGCCAGCAGCCGCGGUAAUACGGAGGGUACAAGCGUUAAUCGGAAUUACUGGGCGUAAAGCGCACGCAGGCGGUCUGUCAAGUCGGAUGUGAAAUCCCCGGGCUCAACCUGGGAACUGCAUUCGAAACUGGCAGGCUAGAGUCUUGUAGAGGAGGGUAGAAUUCCAGGUGUAGCGGUGAAAUGCGUAGAGAUCUGGAGGAAUACCGGUGGCGAAGGCGGCCCCCUGGACAAAGACUGACGCUCAGGUGCGAAAGCGUGGGGAGCAAACAGGAUUAGAUACCCCUGUAGUC